GGGGGGGUGUGCUGUACCUUCUCGUGGUCCUCCCUGUAAGUAGUGGUAUUCCUAAGGUGCUUUCUAAUCUAUGAGAUCGAAAUUAUCUUAACAUGCCACGAAACCAAACAGCA
rnacentral:ribozyme from 1 species